CCAUUGUCUAAUUUAAUUGAAUUGCAUCUGAGGAACUGUACAGAAUUCGAGACUCUCCCAAGCAGUUUUUGUAAGUUGAAAUCUCUCCAAAAGGUUAAUCUCUCUGGCUGCUCCAAAUUUGAGAACUUCCCAGAAAUUUUGGAGACUAUGGUUUCAUUGAGAUAUCUAUACUUAGACAGAACAGCCAAGAAGGUUACCGUUGCCAAUUAAAAAUCUUCCAGGACUUUCUGUCUUGGAAUUGGGGAACUGCAAAAACCUUGUCAAAAUGCCUGAAUUUUAUAGCAGCUUACCUGACUGGAAUGCAGAUUUAGAAUAUCUGCGGAAGCUAUGCCUAAGUGGUUGUGGUAUAUCACAUGUGCCUUGCACCAUCCGCUGCUUUUCCUCUCUGGAAGUACUGGACUUAAGUGGAAACAAUUUUGAGCAUUUACAUAUAAGCUUUGAGAACUUCCCGGAGCUGCAAUACCUUGGCCUAAGGUCUUGUAAGCGGCUUUUAUCGUUACCAGAGCUUCCACCACGGCUAACAAAAUUAGAUGCAAAUGAUUGCACAUCGCUGAUAAAUGUUUCGACCAAAUCGACUGCAGUUGAGGGGAACAUCUGUGACUUCUUUUUCACCAAUUGUCUCAGUUUAGAUGAGAUUGCUUGCAAUAACAUCAUGGCAUAUGCCCUAUUGAAAAUUCAGAUUUUCACCAAAAGAUUACACAAUCAGAUGUAUUCUGUACCAGCCGGGCCUUCCAGCUUAUGCUUUCCAGGAAGAACAAUUCCAAAAUGGUUUGGGCAUCAAAGUUGGAAAUNNUGAGCUGCCUUCAUAUUGGGCUAGUAAUGAUUUCUUGGGUUUCACUCUAUGUGCACUUGUUGCAUUUGAUUCGUGUUUUGAUGAAUCCAGUUUCCAAUUUAGAUGCAGUUACCAUUUCAAGAAUAAUUAUGGUGAUUUCCUGGAUCUCCAUUGUGAUUUUGGUGGUUGGUAUGGCUGGAAGGAUAGACGAUUUAUCAAGUCAGAUCAUGUGUUCGUGGGGUUUGAUCCCUGUUUGGAC
rnacentral:misc_RNA from 1 species